UGNUCUGUCACUGACGCUGAGGCUCGAAAGCGUGGGUAGCGAACAGGAUUAGAUACCCUGGUAGUNCACGCCGUAAACGCUGAGUGCUAGGUGUUAGGUCCUUUCCGGGACUUAGUGCCGACGCUAACGCAUUAAGCACUCCGCCUGGGGAGUACGACCGCAAGGUUGAAACUCAAAGGAAUUGACGGGGGCCCGCACAAGCGGUGGAGCAUGUGGUUUAAUUCGAAGCAACGCGAAGAACCUUACCAGGUCUUGACAUCCCGAUGCCCGCUCUAGAGAUAGAGUUUUUCUUCGGAACAUCGGAGACAGGUGGUGCAUGGUUGUCGUCAGCUCGUGUCGUGAGAUGUUGGGUUAAGUCCCGCAACGAGCGCAACCCUUAUUGUUAGUUGCCAUCAUUAAGUUGGGCACUCUAGCGAGACUGCCGGUAAUAAACCGGAGGAAGGUGGGGAUGACGUCAAAUCAUCAUGCCCCUUAUGACCUGGGCUACACACGUGCUACAAUGGUUGGUACAACGAGUCGCAAGCCGGUGACGGCAAGCUAAUCUCUGAAAGCCAAUCUCAGUUCGGAUUGUAGGCUGCAACUCGCCUACAUGAAGUCGGAAUCGCUAGUAAUCGCGGAUCAGCACGCCGCGGUGAAUACGUUCCCGGGCCUUGUACACACCGCCCGUCACACCACGAGAGUUUGUAACACCCAAAGUCGGUGAGGUAACCAUUUANGGG
rnacentral:rRNA from 1 species